GACGAACGCUGGCGGCGUGCUUAACACAUGCAAGUCGUACGGUAAGGCCCUUUCGGGGGUACACGAGUGGCGAACGGGUGAGUAACACGUGAGUAACCUGCCCACAACUUUGGGAUAACGCUAGGAAACUGGUGCUAAUACUGGAUAUGUGCUCCUGCUGCAUGGUGGGGGUUGGAAAGCUCCGGCGGUUGUGGAUGGACUCGCGGCCUAUCAGCUUGUUGGUGGGGUAGUGGCCUACCAAGGCGGCGACGGGUAGCCGGCCUGAGAGGGUGACCGGCCACAUUGGGACUGAGAUACGGCCCAGACUCCUACGGGAGGAAGCAGGGGGGAAUAUUGCACAAUGGGCGCAAGCCUGAUGCAGCAGCGCCGCGUGCGGGAUGACGGCCUUCGGGUUGUAAACCGCUUUCAGCAGGGACGAAGCUUUUUGUGACGGUACCUGCAGAAGAAGCACCGGCUAACUACGUG
rnacentral:rRNA from 1 species